GGCGCUAUAGUGUAGUGGCUAUCACAACGGAUUCUGACUUUCUAUGGUUAUCUUAGCCAUUUUCCGUUAACCCAGGUUCGAACCCUGGUAGCGCCU